rnacentral:rRNA from 1 species
AUGCAACAUGUGGAAGACUCCUCACACCUGGGCUCCAGCGUUCUUCCAGAAGUGUUUUUCCCCUUUACAUGCACUACGGGGAGGUUAGAGGGACUAAACUCCUACUUCAAGGCAUUUGUUAAUCCUCAGGACUCGGUGUGGAGGUUUGUGCAGCAGUAUGAGGUGCUACAAGAGACUAUGCUGGACCGUGAGGACAAUCAAGCUUUCAUUAGCGCAACAGCCAUAGCCCCACUUUACUCACGGUAUAGAUUUGAGCGUCAGGCGGUUGGUUUCUACACCCGCAACGUGUUUGGCAAGUUUCAAGCAUAA